rnacentral:rRNA from 1 species
GCUCGACUUCGGAUCAUGUACGAAUACCCGCUGAAAAUUAACCCUAUCAAUAAGCGGAUGACA